CAAGGGUGCGUUAACAAUGAAUGAUUAUGAACCCCGCCAGAUCCGGAAGGAAGCAACGGUAAUAAUUUUUUCAGGUGUCGGCUGUCAUUCUCGGUG
rfam:Endosymbiont of Bathymodiolus septemdierum str. Myojin knoll DNA, complete genome.